rnacentral:rRNA from 1 species
AGGGUUCGGCCCUCGGCUGACGGCUCAGUAACACGUGGAUAAUCUGCCCUUAGGUGGAGGAUAAUCUCGGGAAACUGAGGAUAAUACUCCAUAGAUCUAGGAUGCUGGAAUGCAUCUAGAUUGAAAGCUCCGGCGCCUAAGGAUGAGUCUGCGGACUAUCAGGUUGUAGUCAGGGUAAAGACCUGACUAGCCUACGACGGAUACGGGUUGUGAGAGCAAUAACCCGGAGACGAUAUCUGAGACACGAUAUCGGGCCCUACGGGGCGCAGCAGGCGCGAAAACUUUACACUGUGCGAAAGCGCGAUGAGGGAAUCCCAAGUGUUUGCUCGUAAGAGUAAACUGUUUCUUUGUUUAAAACGCAGAGAGAGUAAGGGCUGGGUAAGACGGGUGCCAGCCGCCGCGGUAAUACCUGCAGCUCAAGUGGUGAUCAUUAUUAUUGGGCCUAAAACGUCCGUAGCCGGUUUAGUAAAUGCCUGGGUAAAUCGUGUAGCUUAACUAUACGACUUCCGGGUAGACUGCUAAACUUGAGACCGGGAGAGGCUAGAGGUACUCCUGGGGUAGAGGUGAAAUUCUGUAAUCCUAGGGGGACCACCAGUGGCGAAGGCGUCUAGCUAGAACGGGUCUGACGGUGAGGGACGAAGCCCUGGGGCACAAACCGGAUUAGAUACCCGGGUAGUCCAGGGUGUAAACGCUGCUUGCUUGAUGUUAGUUGGGCUCCGAGCCCAACUAGUGUC